rnacentral:rRNA from 1 species
GUCUACGGCCAUACCACCCUGAACACGGCCCUGAUUUCAUCUAAUCUCGGAAGCUAAGCAGGGUCGGGCCUGGUUAGUCAAGGAUGGGAGAAAUAAAUUUGUCAGGAGAGAUACACA